GAUGAACGCUGGCGGCGUGCCUAAUACAUGCAAGUCGAGCGAACAGACGAGGAGCUUGCUCCUUUGACGUUAGCGGCGGACGGGUGAGUAACACGUGGGUAACCUACCUAUAAGACUGGGAUAACUUCGGGAAACCGGAGCGAAUACCGGAUAAUAUUUCGAACCGCAUGGUUCGAUAGUGAAAUAUGGCUUUGCUAUCACUUAUAGAUGGACCUGCGCCGUAUUAGCUAGUUGGUAAGGUAACGGCUUACCAAGGCAACGAUACGUAGCCGACCUGAGAGGGUGAUCGGUCACAUUGGAACUGAGACACGGUCCAGACUCCUACGGGAGGCAGCAGUAGGGAAUCGUCCGCAAUGGGCGAAAGCCUGACGGAGUAACGCCGCGUGAGUGAUGAAGGUCUUAGGAUCGUAAAACUCUGUUAUUAGGGAAGAACAAACGUGUAAGUAACUGUUCACGUCUUGACGGUACCUAAUCAGAAAGCCACGGCUAACUACGUG
rnacentral:rRNA from 1 species